UAAAAUUAAUCAUUAUUUUUUAAUUACUAACCUCCAUCCAUGUGUUUCAUGGCAUUCUCAGCUUCAUCCGCAUUGCUAAAUUCAACAUAAGCAUAGCCUCGACCAUUGUGUGGAUGUAGUCUAUCCAUUGGGAACUCAACUGCUUUUACAGUACCAUAUGUAGAGAAAAUUUCAUGUAUAUGGUCUCUCGACACAUUUAAAGUUAGCCUGCCAAUAUGUAUUCGAGUUGGGCGGGGUGGCGGUGAACGUUCACGUUUUUUACGCCCUGGUGAUCUAUAACAGAUUUGUCAUUACUUGAAGGUGCUGUAAUUUUUUUUUUAUCUCCUAAUGGUGAUCUAUCUCGAAGUCUCUCUGCAUCUGGAUCCCGACGAUCUUUUAAUGGACUUUUUAGUGGAGAAGUCCUAAAAAGUGAGAUGAAUCGAUUGAAGCUACCACAUCAGAAAUAGUCGAAAAAGUUGUAUUGGAAAAUGCCCGGCUAAAGAUAAAACAGCUUGCAACAUUAGUUGGAAUAUCAGAAACAACCAUUUUAAACAUCCUACAUGAACACCUUGGCAUGAUUUGAAAAUGAUUUGUCUUGGGCGUCAGUUUCGGCAUAUUUUGACGCCCAAGACAAAUCAUUUUUUCGAUGGUAGUAAUAAGUUAUUUGACAGAUCUAAUAAAUGUAUUAGGGUUACGAGAGAAUAUAUUGAAAAGGAAAAA